UACGUAGGGUGCAAGCGUUAAUCGGAAUUACUGGGCGUAAAGCGUGCGCAGGCGGUUUUGUAAGUCUGUCGUGAAAUCCCCGGGCUUAACCUGGGAAUUGCGAUGGAGACUGCAAGGCUGGAGUCUGGCAGAGGGGGGUAGAAUUCCACGUGUAGCAGUGAAAUGCGUAGAGACGUGGAGGAACACCGAUGGCGAAGGCAGCCCCCUGGGUCAAGACUGACGCUCAUGCACGAAAGCGUGGGGAGCAAACAGG
rnacentral:rRNA from 1 species